rnacentral:rRNA from 1 species
GAUGAACGCUGGCGGCGUGCCUAAUACAUGCGAGUCGAGCGAACAGAUGAGGAGCUUGCUCCUCUGACGUUAGCGGCGGACGGGUGAGUAACACGUGGAUAACCUACCUAUAAGACUGGGAUAACUUCGGGAAACCGGAGCUAAUACCGGAUAAUAUAUUGAACCGCAUGGUUCAAUAGUGAAAGACGGUUUUGCUGUCACUUAUAGAUGGAUCCGCGCCGCAUUAGCUAGUUGGUAAGGUAACGGCUUACCAAGGCAACGAUGCGUAGCCGACCUGAGAGGGUGAUCGGCCACACUGGAACUGAGACACGGUCCAGACUCCUACGGGAGGCAGCAGUAGGGAAUCUUCCGCAAUGGGCGAAAGCCUGACGGAGCAACGCCGCGUGAGUGAUGAAGGUCUUCGGAUCGUAAAACUCUGUUAUUAGGGAAGAACAAAUGUGUAAGUAACUACGCACGUCUUGACGGUACCUAAUCAGAAAGCCACGGCUAACUACGUG